rnacentral:rRNA from 1 species
CCAGAGAACUUAGCAGAGAUGCUUUGGUGCCUUCGGGAACUCUGAGACAGGUGCUGCAUGGCUGUCGUCAGCUCGUGUUGUGAAAUGUUGGGUUAAGUCCCGCAACGAGCGCAACCCUUAUCCUUUGUUGCCAGCGGUCCGGCCGGGAACUCAAAGGGGACUGCCAGUGAUAAACUGGAGGAAGGUGGGGAUGACGUCAAGUCAUCAUGGCCCUUACGAGUAGGGCUACACACGUGCUACAAUGGCGCAUACAAAGAGAAGCGACCUCGCGAGAGCAAGCGGACCUCAUAAAGUGCGUCGUAGUCCGGAUUGGAGUCUGCAACUCGACUCCAUGAAGUCGGAAUCGCUAGUAAUCGUGGAUCAGAAUGCCACGGUGAAUACGUUCCCGGGCCUUGUACACACCGCCCGUCACACCAUGGGAGUGGGUUGCAAAAGAAGUAGGUAGCUUAACCUUCGGGAGGGCGCUUACCACUUUGUGAUUCAUGACUGGGGUGAAGUCGUAACAAGGUAAGCGUAGUGCU